UCCACCUUGUUCCAGUUACCCUAUUUUGUUAUUCUCUGUAAAGGCUAGUUUUCGAUUCAAUGCUGGAAUCCGACGCUUCUUCAAAAACGUUUCUCGGCGUUCUUUUCUGUUUCUACGGCUUCGAUCCCGUCAACGACCAUUAGGUUCGAGUAAAGCUCAUUGACGGUGGCGGCGUUGGUGUCGGUAAGUAUAGCCAGAAUUGCACUCAUUUGAUUGUUGAUAAGAUUGUCUACGAUGAUCCCCUAUGUGUUGCUGCUCGAACUGAUGGCAAAACAGUUGUCACUGGAUUAUGGGUUGAUCAUAGUUUUGAUGCUGGGAUACCUGUCGAUGCUACUUCGAUUAUGUACAUACCUCUUAGGGACUUAAAUGGAAUUCCUGGUGCUAAAAGUUUAAUUUUAUGCUUGACUGGAUACCAGAGGAAAGAUCGAGAUGACAUCAUGACAAUGGUUAGCUUGAUGGGUGCUCAAUUUUCUAAACCUCUGGUUGCAAGCAAAGUCACUCAUCUAGUAUGCUAUAAAUUUGAAGGUGGAGUUUUCUCUGUUUUCUUUAUCAUAGGGCUGCUAAAAUAAACUUCUCAAUGUUAGGACUCUAUAAGGAUCUUAUUUCUCUUGUCAAUAUUUUCUGCAUUGUAUGUUAUGUCGAUGAGUUCUUUCUUCCUCUUCUUCUUAUGUCAAUUCUUAAUGCUUUCCCUC